rnacentral:misc_RNA from 1 species
UCUCCGUUGGUGAACCAGCGGAGGGAUCAUUACAGGACUCGCAAGACUCCUUCACCCUGUGAACCUCACUACAAGCACGUUGCUUCGGCGGGUGUCCCGGCGGGGGUUUUCCCUCGCCGGGGCGCACAGCCCGCCGGCAGCCUACUAUAUUCUGUCUCUUUGCGUUGGCAUCUCGAGAAAAAACAAACAAGUUAAAACUUUCAACAACGGAUCUCUUGGUUCUG